rnacentral:rRNA from 2 species
AGUGUCGACCCUUCGGGUGGCGAAGCUAACGCGUUAAGUGUCCCGCCUGGGAAGUACGGCCGCAAGGCUAAAACUCAAAGGAAUAGACGGGGACUCACACAAGCGGUGGACCAUGUGGCUCAAUUCGACGACAAACGAGGAACCUUACCAGGGCUUGACAGGCUAGUGAAAUCCUGUAGAAAUAUGGGACUACCCACAAGGACACUAGCCCAGGUGCUGCAUGGUUGUCGUCAGCAUGUAUCUUAAGACGCACGCUUAAAUGCGGUAACAUGCGCAACCCUUACCCUAUGUUUUAUCUGUCAUAGGGGACUGCCUGGGACAACCAGGAGGAAGGCAAGGAUGACGCCAAAUCAGCAUGGCCCUUUGAUGCCCUGGGCUGCACACGUGGUACAAUGGCCGUUACAAUGGGUUGCCAAGCCGUAAGGCGGAGCUAAUCCCAUCAAAAACGGUCUCAAUUCGGAUUGAGGUCUGCAACCCGACCUCAUGAAGCCGGAAUCGCUAGUAAUCGCAUAUCAGCUAUGGUGCGAUGAAUAUGUUCCUGAGUCUUGUACUCACCGCCCGUCACACCAGGAGAGCUGACAGUACCUGAAGCACCUCGCAAGAGGAACUAAGGUAAGGUCAGUGAUAAAGGUGAAGUCGUCAAAGUAA